UUGAAUCCAACAGCUGAAUCACCUCCCAAGUGCAGUCAGGUUCUCCAGAGUCCUGCUAAUGACCUCAUUAUUUGACCCAGGUAUGUUGAAGUAGAGAUACAUCUAAACGUUGCAGGAGAACUGCCCUCGAGGCCUGGAGUUGCCCACGCCUGACCUAACCCCACCUUUAUGGUCACAGCUCCUCCUCAGAGAUGCUGAUUCCAAGCACCCCUCCCUUCAUGGCUCCUCCACUCAGCGCCUUCAGACUAGCCAGCAGCAAUUAGCAAACACCUGGUGGAACUGUGCAUCUGCUGGGCUCAUUAUUGGAUGCCUUAUCAAAAGCUUCCAUACCUUGCUGAAAAGUUACUUCUCUGGGAAAGCCUUGGAAUGCCAGAGGGAAGAGAAGACGGAGGGAGGGAUAAAAGAACGUUUACUUCCAGAAACUUCCCAGCAUUGUUCCGAGUUCUGCUCCAGCUCUCACCUGCUCCCAUCCCCCUGCCUGAGCGCUGAGGAAUGACACAGUUCCUGUUCUGUAAUGUUCCUCUGAUUGUGCCUCCACACCCUGCUGAUGAUUUUACCAAGACGCCUGUCACCGUAGAUCCUCUCCGCUGCUGUUAAGGGGACGGCGAGUUCAUUCUGUGGGUUUGUUAGCGGUUGACGGGGGCCUGGGCAGAGUGGGCCGCCAUGGCUCUCUCUCCUCAUCGUUACAGGGCUGCGGGUUUUUGUGUAACAAUGGCCUAACAGCAAAUAUUUUAACGAUGCGUUUUACCUCCCUGAUUACCUGGUCCACUCUUGAACCACUCUGUGAAUCACAUGUGCUGCACAGUUUUCCUUGAAGCAUUCUGUGGGAACUGGGCUGUUAGAACAUAGCAGCAGCUUUAGAUGCCAAAUGAGCUGCGGUGAGCCUUGUUAAAUGGUCCAAAUGAAACUCAACCAAUAGCUGUAAACCAUCCUGGACCGGCAAGGCCUUUCUGCUAAUAAAGAGAAAGUGUUAAUAAAAUCAGACAGUUGGAAUCAAGUGUAAACAUGAUUUUCAUUUUCUGUUCCUUCAUGUCCUUUUAACUACUGGGAAGGUACAAAAUUAAUAAGAAGCUCAACAUUCACUAAAUGAUUGUCAGUGUUUAGGUUCAAUCCAGAACCUUCUAUGCUAAAAAAUAAAAAGUUGAACAAAGCA